GACGAACGCUGGCGGCGUGCCUAAUACAUGCAAGUUGAGCGCUGAAGGUUGGUACUUGUACCAACUGGAUGAGCAGCGAACGGGUGAGUAACGCGUGGGGAAUCUGCCUUUGAGCGGGGGACAACAUUUGGAAACGAAUGCUAAUACCGCAUAAAAACUUUAAACACAAGUUUUAAGUUUGAAAGAUGCAAUUGCAUCACUCAAAGAUGAUCCCGCGUUGUAUUAGCUAGUUGGUGAGGUAAAGGCUCACCAAGGCGAUGAUACAUAGCCGACCUGAGAGGGUGAUCGGCCACAUUGGGACUGAGACACGGCCCAAACUCCUACGGGAGGCAGCAGUAGGGAAUCUUCGGCAAUGGACGGAAGUCUGACCGAGCAACGCCGCGUGAGUGAAGAAGGUUGUCGGAUCGUAAAACUCGGUUGGUAGAGAAGAACGUUGGUGAGAGUGGAAAGCUCAUCAAGUGACGGUAACUACCCAGAAAGGGACGGCUAACUACGUG
rnacentral:rRNA from 1 species